UCUUGGAUGAAGAGGACAGAGGGGCACCACUGAUCCCACAACAGGAAGUCAGCUCGACACAACAGCGUGCCGCAUCUCAAGGCUUCCUCUUCCGCAUCACUGAGCCAGAUAAAAACACUGAAUCCAGGCACCACCAACGCUGCCAUUUGCCCUCCUUUCAAAAAAUACACACACACACACACACACCUGCCAGGUGUGUGCACUAUGUAAAGGCUUCCUGUCACGCAAUAGUUUUAUGUUCGGCGUUGAGUCAUGACUGAGAGCGUCUGUCUGGCCGAGUCGGGAUGGGACUGCACCUGUGAACCUCAGCAACCGUGAGCAAUGCAAUGACUCCCUAUAGUUUUAUGGCUACCUCGUCAUGGAGGUUACUCAUCGCAGCAGUGUGCAGGAGUCUUCAGAAAUAUAUCCACAAAAGUGCACCCACAUGUUGGCAUGUUGCUUAACACGAAAUCACAAAGGGCCGACAUGAUUCAGAGUGUGUAGUUUUGGUCAGAAAGAAGUUUGCACGAUAACAGAGACAUAUUAAACUGUCUGCAGCUACUCAUAAAGUAGUUAUAUAAUGCUCAAGCUGCUACUCUUUUGUACUUUAGUUGCCAUCACAAGCUGCUGACUAAACGUGAUUGAAGGUAAAAGUAAAGGAGCUAUCAAAUAACAUAGGCAUAUUUGAUUAUUUUCACAUUCAGGUCGGAUCAGAAAACAGCUUUGCUACCCUCACUACUGUUCAAAAGUUUGGGGCUGGUAAGACUUUUAAAAUGUUUUUUAAUUAAGUCCUUUAAUGCAAGAUGUUUAUGCAAAAAUAAAACAGCAAUAUAGUGAAAUAUUAUUACAAUUUAAAAUAACUAUUUUCUGUUUGAAUAUAUUUUAAAAUCAAAUUUAUUCCUGUGUUGCAAAGCUGAAUUUUUAGCAGCAUUACUCCAGUCUUCAGUGUCACAUGAUCUUUCAGAAAUCAUUCUGAUAUGAUUAUUUGCUGCUCAAGAAACAUUAUUAUUAAUAUCAGUUCUGAAAACGCUUGUGUUGCUUAAGAUUUUUAUUGAAUCCCUAAUAGAAAACAAAAGCAUUUAUCUGAAAUAGUAUUUUUUUUAACAAUAUAAAAGUCUUUACUGUCACUUUUGAUCAAUUCAGUGUGUCCUUGAUUAAUUAAAGUAUUAAUUUAUUUCAAUCAAUCAAAUAAAAUCGUACUUGACGCCAAACAUUUGAAAGGUAGUGUAUGUUUAGUUACUGCUCUCUAGCAUCCAUCCAACUCCAAACCAAAACCAGAUCCAGGCUAACUGCUGUAAUAAUUGAA
rnacentral:lncRNA from 1 species